AUGAAAGCGAAUAAGGGCGUAUGGCGGAUGCCUUGGCUCUCAGAGGCGAUGAAGGACGUGAUAAGCUGCGAUAAGCUACGGGUAAGUGCAAACAACUUUUAAUCCGUAGAUUUCCGAAUGGGGAAACCCAUCAUGCUGAAGGCAUGAUAUCCUGAAAAGGAAGCGAACCCAGGGAACUGAAACAUCUAAGUACCUGGAGGAACAGAAAACAAAUAGUGAUUCCCUAAGUAGUGGCGAGCGAAAGGGGAAUAGCCCAAAUCUCAAUAACUUAGUUUUUGAGAGGUUGUAGGACUGCAAUAUGCAAUAACAUUUUAAACUGAAUCUUCUGGAAAGUAGAACUAUAAAAGGUGAUAGUCCUGUAAGUGUAAGAAUAUUAAAGUUAGCAGUAUCCUGAGUACCACGGGACCGGAGAAAUCCUGUGGGAAUCGACCAGCACCAUCUGGUAAGGCUAAAUACUACUGAGAGACCGAUAGUGAACAAGUACCGUGAGGGAAAGGUGAAAAGAACCGCGAACAGCGGAGUGAAAUAGUACCUGAAACCAUACGCCUACAAGCGGUAGGAGCCCUUAGGGGUGACUACGUGCCUUUUGCAUAAUGAGCCUACGAGUUAUACUUCACCGGCAAGGUUAAUCUUGAAAACAAGAAAAGCCGUAGCGAAAGCGAGUCUGAAUAGGGCAUUAGUCGGUGGGGAUAGACGCGAAACCUAGUGAUCUACCUAUGGCCAGGUUGAAGUUCCGGUAACACGGGAUGGAGGACCGAACUGUUUAGCGUUGAAAAGCUAUCGGAUGAGCUGUGGGUAGGGGUGAAAGGCUAAUCAAACUAGGAGAUAGCUCGUACUCCCCGAAAUGUUUUUAGGAACAGCCUCGGACCAAUAGUCAUAGAGGUAGAGCUACCGAUUGGACUAGGGGGCUUCAUCGCCUACCAAAUCCUGACGAACUCCGAAUGCUAUGACUUAUAUCCGGGAGUGAGGCCCAGGGUGCUAAGGUCAUGGGCCGAGAGGGAAAUAACCCAGACCAUCAGCUAAGGUCCCUAAAUUCAUGCUAAGUUGAUCAAACGUUGUCUGAUUGCUAUAACAGCUAGGAUGUUUGCUUGGAAGCAGCAAUUCAUUUAAAGAGUGCGUAACAGCUCACUAGUCGAGUGAUCGGGCGCGGAAAAUAAUCGGGCAUAAAGCAUGAUACCGAAGCUAUGGAUUCAAUUGUUUGACAAUUGAGUGGUAGGGGAGCAUUCCAGUUGCAUUGAAGGUGUAGCGUGAGCUAUGUUGGAGCGGCUGGAAAAGCAAAUGUAGGCAUAAGUAACGAUAAACCGGGUGAAAAACCCGGUCGCCGAUAGACUAAGGUUUCCUGAUCAAUGCUAAUCAGAUCAGGGUUAGUCGGGUCCUAAGGCUAAGCCGAAAGGUGACGUCGAUGGACAUACAGUUAAUAUUCUGUAACCAGCAUUUAUUGUGAUGGGGUGACGGAGAAGCGUAAGGUCUGCGCACGGACGGAAGUGUGCGUUAAAGGGUGUAGGUAUAUCUGCUGUUGGCAAAUCCGCAGCGGGUGCUGAAACCCGACAGUACCACAAACCUUCGGGGGAGUGGAUAAUGACCCUAAGCCGGCUUCCAAGAAAAACCCUAAACUUCAGAUAGAUGCUGCCCGUACCGCAAACCGACACAGGUAGUCAAGAAGAAUAUUCUAAGGCGCUCGAGUGAACCGUGGCUAAGGAACUCGGCAAAUUAACCCUGUAACUUCGGGAUAAAGGGUCCCCGCAGCAAUGCGGGGCGCAGUGAAAUGGCUCAGGCGACUGUUUAGCAAAAACACAGGACUCUGCUAAAUCGAAAGAUGAUGUAUAGGGUCUGACACCUGCCCGGUGCUGGAAGGUUAAGGAAGGGGGUCAGCCGCAAGGCGAAGCUCUCAACUGAAGCCCCAGUAAACGGCGGCCGUAACUAUAACGGUCCUAAGGUAGCGAAAUUCCUUGUCGGGUAAGUUCCGACCUGCACGAAUGGUGUAACGAUCUGAGCACUGUCUCGGCCACGAGCUCGGUGAAAUUGAAGUAUCGGUGAAGAUACCGAUUACCCGCAACGGGACGAAAAGACCCCGUGCACCUUCACUACAACUUUGCAUUGAUUUCGGUUAAACGAUGUGUAGGAUAGCUGGGAGACUAUGAAGCUGUGGCGCUAGCCAUGGUGGAGUCAACGUUGAAAUACCAGCCUUUGUUUGAUUGGACUCUAACCCCUUUACGGGGAGACAGUGCAUGGUGGGUAGUUUGACUGGGGUGGUCGCCUCCAAAAGAGUAACGGAGGCUUUCAAAGGUACCCUCAGCACGCUUGGUAACCGUGCUUCGAGUGCAAUAGCAGAAGGGUGCUUGACUGGGAGACAUACAAGUCGAUCAGGGUCGAAAGACGGAUAUAGUGAUCCGGUGGUUCCGCAUGGAAGGGCCAUCGCUCAAAGGAUAAAAGGUACGCCGGGGAUAACAGGCUGAUCUCCCCAAGAGCUCAUAUCGACGGGGAGGUUUGGCACCUCGAUGUCGGCUCGUCGCAUCCUGGGGCUGGAGAAGGUCCCAAGGGUUGGGCUGUUCGCCCAUUAAAGCGGCACGUGAGCUGGGUUCAGAACGUCGCAAGACAGUUCGGUCUCUAUCUGUUGUGGGCGUUAGAGAUUUGAGAGGACCUGACACUAGUACGAGAGGACCGUGUUGGACGAACCUCUAGUGAACCUGUUGUGACGCCAGUCGCAGCGCAGGGUAGCUAUGUUCGGUAAGGAUAAGUGCUGAAAGCAUCUAAGCACGAAGCCUACCUCAAGAUGAGAUCUCUUUUAAGGGUCGUGGUAGACCACCACGUUGAUAGGCUGCAGGUGUAAAGGUGGUAACAUCAAAGCCAAGCAGUACUAAUUACCCGUAAGCUUUCAUUU
rnacentral:rRNA from 1 species